ensembl:misc_RNA Metazoa_SRP Metazoan signal recognition particle RNA
AGAUGUGGUGGCACACACCUGUAGUCCCAGGUACUUGGGAGGCUGAGACAGGAGGAUCGCUUGAGUCUGUACAGGAGUUCUGGGCUGCAGUGCACUAUGCCGGUUGGGUGUCUGCACUAAGUUUGGCGUUAGUAUGGUGACCUCCGGGGAAUGGUGGACCACCAGGUUGCCUAAGGAGGGGAGAAUUGGCCCAGGUCAGAAACGGAGCAGGUCAAAAUUCCCUUGCUGACCACACCUGUGAAAGGCCACUGCACUCUAGCCUGAGCAACACAGUGAGACUCCACCUUUU